GGCGAAGAGUGUCAGCCCCAAGGCCCCGGCCGGCUGACCGGCAACCCCCACACUGCGGUGGGGUGCCCCGGGGAUAAGCCAGGUGAGGGUGCGUCCGACCGACGGACCGUCACAAGCGCGGUUU
rnacentral:ncRNA from 2 species